rnacentral:rRNA from 1 species
GAUGAACGCUGGCGGCGUGCUUAACACAUGCAAGUCGAACGGAAAGGCCUCUGCUUGCAGGGGUACUCGAGUGGCGAACGGGUGAGUAACACGUGGGUGAUCUGCCCUGCACUUCGGGAUAAGCCUGGGAAACUGGGUCUAAUACCGGAUAGGACAAUGGUUUGGAUGCUGUUGUGGAAAGUUUUUCGGUGUGGGAUGAGCUCGCGGCCUAUCAGCUUGUUGGUGGGGUAAUGGCCUACCAAGGCGUCGACGGGUAGCCGGCCUGAGAGGGUGUACGGCCACAUUGUGACUGAGAUACGGCCCAGACUCCUACGGGAGGCAGCAGUGGGGAAUAUUGCACAAUGGGCGCAAGCCUGAUGCAGCGACGCCGCGUGGGGGAUGACGGCCUUCGGGUUGUAAACUCCUUUCGCUAGGGACGAAGCGUUUUUGUGACGGUACCUGGAGAAGAAGCACCGGCUAACUACGUG